CUCUGGCUUCCCUGUGCAGCCCUGGGGGAGCCGCGGGAAGGCCCCUCAGCCCACCAGCACAUCCCCUGCGUGGCCGGCGCCCCUUACUUCUCCCCUGCGUAGUAUCUGCUGCUGAUGAUCCGAAGUGCGCCCACUUCCCAUCGCUGGUAUUUUUGAGGUGCGGGUUUUGGAGUGAAAGUGAAGAAGCCGGAAUUGGGGAUGCCCAUGCCCAAGGGGUACAGUAUCAAGAGGAGACCCCAGGGCAGGAAUGACCUUCAGCCACCCAGUCCUGAAGGAAGACCACAUCAGAUGGCCAGAGGUGGCUGAGCCCAAGAUGGACUCCAUCCCUCUGGAGCAGGAUGUGCCUGGGCAGUUUGGAGGGUGAAGACUAAGCUGGGGUGCAGAUGCUGAGGCAGGGAUCACCUGUCCGACCUGGCGUUUCCCUGCGACCCUACCAAAGAGGGCCAGUCAGGGGCUGGGACUGGACCUGAGCCACCCCAGUGACCCCAUUUCGCCUGGUGCAGGUCUGGCACUCAAGAGCACCAAUAAACAUUUAUUGACGGAA